CGCGCGCAGAGCCAAAGAGCGCGAGAGGACACGGUGAGAGCAGCACGAGUAAGAGCACCCGGUCCCUGCCGUCACGAAGUAGAACCGUUAAGAACUGGGAGUCUCUACUCUCCGUCGUCCACUUUCAGGGGGAGGGACAAACAUGCAAAGAGAGGAGGUGAGGAAAGCAACUGAGGAAAUUGAGAACGGAGAAGAGGAUUCCUCACUUCCUAAAAUGUAUCUCAAGGAGAGAAGACUGCUGGAGUUGCCAUGAGCGAGGAUGUUUGGAAAGUUUUUUUUUUUUUUUUUAGCAGUGUAACAGGGAUGUGACGCAGCUGAAUAUAUAAACUGGAGCAGCCCUGACAAAUGUGUGGAGCCUUUGUAAUAUAUACCACUGAAUCUUAAUGCAUGUCACUAUCCAUUUGUUUAGACCUGUUGUUUGCUACUCUUCUUUGAUACCUAAUGGCACAUACGCUACUGUUCAAAAGUUUGGGAUCACUUAGAAAUGUUCCCAUUUUUGAAAGAAAGCAAUGAUGUUCAGUGAAGAUAACAUUAAAAUAAUCAGAAAUCCA